UGAGGAAUAUUGGACAAUGGGUGGAAGCCUGAUCCAGCCAUCCCGCGUGAAGGAAUGAGGGCCUAUGGCUUGUAAACUUCUUUUGUACAGGGAUAAACCCUACCCUCGUGAGGGUAGCUGAAGGUACUGUACGAAUAAGCACCGGCUAACUCCGUGCCAGCAGCCGCGGUAAUACGGAGGGUGCAAGCGUUAUCCGGAUUUAUUGGGUUUAAAGGGUCCGUAGGCGGGCUUAUAAGUCAGCGGUGAAAUCCGACAGCUUAACUGUCGAACUGCCAUUGAUACUGUAAGUCUUGAGUGUAUUUGAAGUAGCUGGAAUAAGUAGUGUAGCGGUGAANUGCAUAGAUAUUACUUAGAACACCAAUUGCGAAGGCAGGUUACUAAGAUACAACUGACGCUGAUGGACG
rnacentral:rRNA from 1 species